rnacentral:tRNA from 1 species
GGUUUGUGGCUCAGCGGUAGAGCGCUUGCCUCCCACGUGCAAGACACUGGGUUCGAUCCUCAGCACCA